rnacentral:rRNA from 1 species
AGGGCACCACCAGGAGUGGAGCCUGCGGCUUAAUUUGACUCAACACGGGAAAACUCACCCGGCCCGGACACUGGAAGGAUUGACAGAUUGAGAGCUCUUUCUUGAUUCAGUGGGUGGUGGUGCAUGGCCGUUCUUAGUUGGUGGAGUGAUUUGUCUGGUUAAUUCCGAUAACGAACGAGACUCUAGCCUAUUAAAUAGAUCGUUGGCUUACAAACGCCGGCGAGACUUCUUAGAGGGACAGGCGGCGAUUCAGCCGCACGAAACAGAGCAAUAACAGGUCUGUGAUGCCCUUAGAUGUCCGGGGCCGCACGCGCGCUACACUGAAGUGAUCAGCGUGCAUUUUGAAACCUACUCUGUCAAGAGUGGGGAACCCAAUGAACCUUCUUCAUGAUUGGGAUAGGGGAUUGUAAUUAUUCCCCUUGAACGAGGAAUUCCCAGUAAGCGCGAAUCAUAAGUUUGCGCUGAUUACGUCCCUGCCCUUUGUACACACCGCCCGUCGCUACUACCGAUUGAAUGUUU